UUGAACAUUUAGCAAAACUAGUGAAAACUAGUGACGCAAAGCUUUAGUCUAAGGCGGUUUCCGCUAUGAUUGUCAAGUUGCAAUU
rnacentral:ncRNA from 2 species